rnacentral:sRNA from 1 species
AGCAGCCGCGGUAAUUCCAGCUCCAAUAGCGUAUAUUAAAGUUGUUGCAGUUAAAAAGCUCGUAGUUGAAUUUCGGGAUCAGUACGCUGGUCGUGCCUUCGGUAUGUACUGGUGUUACUGGUUCCUACCUUCUGACGAACCGUCAUGUCAUUAAUUUGGUGUGGCGGGGAAUCAGGACUGUUACUUUGAAAAAUUAGAGUGUUUAAAGCAGGCUCGCGCUUGAAUACAUUAGCAUGGAAUAAUGAAAUAGGACGUUUGAUCCUAUUUUGUUGGUUUCUAGGAUUGACGUAAUGAUUAAUAGGGAUAGUUGGGGGCAUUAGUAUUCAAUUGUCAGAGGUGAAAUUCUUGGAUUUAUUGAAGACUAACUACUGCGAAAGCAUUUGCCAAGGAUGUUUUCAUUAAUCAAGAACGAAAGUUAGGGGAUCGAAGACGAUCAGAUACCGUCGUAGUCUUAACCAUAAACUAUGCCGACUAGGGAUCGGAUGAUGUUAAUUUUUAAUGACUCAUUCGGCG